rnacentral:rRNA from 1 species
ACGGAAGGCAGCAGUGGGGGAUAUUGCACAAUGGGCGAAAGCCUGAUGCAGCGACGCCGCGUGAGUGAAGAAGUAUCUCGGUAUGUAAAGCUCUAUCAGCAGGGAAGAAAAUGACGGUACCUGCAGAAUAAGCCCCGGCUAACUACGUGCCAGCAGCCGCGGUAAUACGUAGGGGGCAAGCGUUAUCCGGAUUUACUGGGUGUAAAGGGAGCGUAGACGGCAAUGCAAGUCUGAAGUGAAAGCCCGUGGCUUAACUGCGGGACUGCUUUGGAAACUGCAUGGCUAGAGUGUCGGAGAGGUGAGUGGAAUUCCCAGUGUAGCGGUGAAAUGCGUAGAUAUUGGGAGGAACACCGGAGGCGAAGGCGGCUCACUGGACGAUCACUGACGUUGAGGCUCGAAAGCGUGGGGAGCAAACAGGAUUAGAUACCCCUGGUA